UACGUAGGGUGCAAGCGUUGUCCGGAAUUAUUGGGCGUAAAGAGCUCGUAGGCGGUUUGGUAAGUUGGAUGUGAAAUCUCCAGGCUCAACUUGGAGGGGUCAUUCGAUACUGCCAUGACUAGAGUUCGGUAGGGGAGUGUGGAAUUCCUGGUGGAGCGGUGAAAUGCGCAGAUAUCAGGAGGAACACCCGUAGCGAAGGCGGCACUCUGGGCCGGAACUGACGCUGAGGAGCGAAAGCGUGGGGAGCGAACAGG
rnacentral:rRNA from 1 species